UCUAUCCCCGAGAACCAUCCAGGAAAGAUGUCCAGAGUUGCAGAAUUUCAAAGUUUGGGUGAAGAAUCUGAUUGUGAUUAAGAGACAACAGACAGCACAGGACUGGAAGUCUUAGUGGUAGACGAGAAGCAAGUCGAAUGAGAUGUCUGAGAUCUAAUAUUGGUCUCCAUCCCCCAUUCGUUUUGGGAACCAAAAGUACUUGGAAUAGAACCUCUUUCCCCUAGGCUGAACUGGAACUAGUUCUAUGGCUCCAAAGCGUAGAAGAGGAGCAGCAGCACAGGCACCAGCAAACAGAGCUGAAAACAGGAGGAGAAUGAAGGCAAGACAAGACUGUGAUAAUCAACAGAUGGAUCAGGCAGCGAUGCCAUAAGGAGAGCUUUGGGAUGUUCAUCCACUUGGAGGCCUUCAUGGACAGAGGACUGUUCUCAUGGGAUGGACUCCAUCUGAGUAGGGAGAGAAAUAGACUGGGAUGGAGGUUAGUACAGCUGAUUAAAAGGACUUUAAAUGAGGAACUUGGGAGAGAUGGUUGGGAGAUGCUCAUGUAAUCUCCAUGCCUGAUUAUAAUAUCGACUGGGAAGAAAAUAAAAAAGAGAGAAUAC